GUCCACAGACUAUUUGUUACCUAUCUGGUAGUCCGUUCAGGCUGCUAUGACAACACAACACCGACUGGGUAGCUUGUAAACAACAGAAGUUUAUUAUUCACAGUUCUGGAGCUGGAAGUCCAAGAUCAAGGAUUUUUGUCUUCAACUUGUUUGGAAGAAUUUCUACAGGAAGACUUUCUGUUACAUGGUAGGCAUGGAUGUACAAAACGCCUUUAUUUCACUUCACUCUCAUAUAAUAAUUUAGAGUAUACCAUAAAUCUUUGGUCCAGCGAUAAGAAAGGAAGCUACAAACAGCCAAAACCAGACGGGACCAGCUGGGACCAAGAUGCUGAGGAAUCUGACCUCCAACAGACCCUGAGUCUCAUUAUACGCUGAUUUUACUACAUUAAGCACAUAAAAUAACACACCCUCCUGCAGCCAAAACCUAAGAAUAAGGACCCAAAAAGGAUAAAAAGGGGGUAGCACCCCUCUCCCUCUGAAAAAGCCCUGCCCCUUCUCCAGCGGACUAAUGCAUAUGCCUCCCCUCGCUCCUCCUCCCUUUGCCUUUAGAGUUUAAAAUUAAACCACUCUCCCCAGGUAGGUGAGAAGCUGAUCUGUGAACCUAGUUCCCGCUUCUCCAUUCUUUGGCCACUGAAUAAAGCUUGUGCUGUG